CCUACGGGAGGCUGCAGUGGGGGAUAUUGCACAAUGGAGGAAACUCUGAUGCAGCAACGCCGCGUGAGGGAAGAAGGUCUUCGGAUUGUAAACCUCUGUCCUCAGGGACGAUAAUGACGGUACCUGAGGAGGAAGCUCCGGCUAACUACGUGCCAGAAGCCGCGGUAAUACGUAGGGAGCAAGCGGUGUCCGGAUUUACUGGGUGGAAAGGGAGCGUAGGCAGCUCUGCAAGUCAGGUGUGUAAACUAUGGGCUUAAAUCAUAGAUUGUAAUUGGAACUGUGGGGCUUUAGUGAAGUAGAGGCGGGUGGAAUUCACGGUGUAGCGGUGAAAUGCGUAGAGUUCGGGAAGAACAUCAGUGGCGAAGGCGGGCUGCUGGGAUUUAACUGACGCUGGGGCACGAAAGCGUGGGUAGCAAACAGGAUUAGAUACCCGGGUAGUC
rnacentral:rRNA from 1 species